AUUGAACGCUGGCGGCAUGCUUUACACAUGCAAGUCGAACGGUAACAGGCCGCAAGGUGCUGACGAGUGGCGAACGGGUGAGUAAUGCAUCGGAACGUGCCCAGUCGUGGGGGAUAACGCAGCGAAAGCUGCGCUAAUACCGCAUACGAUCUAUGGAUGAAAGCGGGGGACCGUAAGGCCUCGCGCGAUUGGAGCGGCCGAUGUCAGAUUAGGUAGUUGGUGGGGUAAAGGCUCACCAAGCCGACGAUCUGUAGCUGGUCUGAGAGGACGACCAGCCACACUGGGACUGAGACACGGCCCAGACUCCUACGGGAGGCAGCAGUGGGGAAUUUUGGACAAUGGGCGCAAGCCUGAUCCAGCAAUGCCGCGUGCAGGAAGAAGGCCUCGGUUGUAAACUGCUUUGUACGACGAAACGGCUCUGGUUAAUACCUGGGCGUAAUGACGGUACCGUAAGAAUAAGACACCGGCUAACUAACGUGCCAGCAGCCG
rnacentral:rRNA from 1 species